CUAGCGCUGUCUUUUUGGUCCCAACGUGGGUCCGCUGGCGAUGGCGGCGCUGGUGGCGGCCGAGGCCGCAGAGUCUUGUAGCCGAAACGGCCCGGGCAGAGGUCGAGCCCCUCGGGGCCGCUUGGCCAAUCAGAUCCCGGCUGAGAUCCUGAACAAUCCCCAGCUGCAGGCAGCCAUCCAAGUCCUGCCUUCCAACUAUAACUUUGAGAUUCCCAAGACCAUCUGGAGGAUCCAACAGGCCCAGGCCAAGAAGGUGGCCUUACAAAUGCCCGAAGGCCUCCUCCUCUUCGCCUGUACCAUUGUGGAUAUCUUGGAAAGGUUCACAGAGGCCGAAGUGAUGGUGAUGGGCGACGUGACCUACGGGGCUUGCUGUGUGGACGACUUCACUGCGAGAGCCCUGGGAGCUGACUUCCUGGUGCACUACGGCCACAGCUGCCUGGUUCCCAUGGACACCUCAGCCCAAGACUUCCGGGUGCUGUACGUCUUUGUGGACAUCCGGAUAGACACUGCCCACCUUUUGGACUCUGUCCGACUCACCUUUCCCCCAGGCAGUGCCCUUGCGCUGGUCAGCACCAUUCAGUUCGUGUCAACCUUGCAGGCAGCUGCCCAAGAGCUGAAAGCUGAGUAUCGUGUGAGUGUCCCACAGUGCAAGCCCCUGUCCCCUGGGGAGAUUCUGGGCUGCACGUCCCCCUGCCUACCCAAGGAGGUGGAGGCUGUGGUGUAUCUUGGAGAUGGCCGCUUCCACCUGGAGUCUGUCAUGAUCGCCAACCCCAAUAUCUCCGCUUACCGAUACGACCCUUACAGCAAGGUCCUGUCCAGAGAGCACUAUGACCACCAGCGCAUGCAGGCCAACCGCCAGGAGGCCAUAGCCACUGCCCGCUCAGCUAAAUCCUGGGGUCUCAUCCUGGGCACUUUGGGCCGCCAAGGCAGUCCCAAGAUUCUGGAGCACCUGGAAUCUCGGCUCCAAGCCUUGGGACUUCCCUUCGUGAGGCUGCUGCUCUCCGAGAUCUUCCCCAGCAAGCUCAGCCUCCUUCCCGAGGUGGAUGUGUGGGUGCAGGUGGCAUGUCCACGCCUGUCCAUUGACUGGGGUACAGCCUUCCACAAGCCGCUGCUCACGCCCUAUGAGGCGGCAGUGGCCUUGAGGGACAUUUCCUGGCAGCAGCCCUACCCUAUGGACUUCUACGCCAGCAGCUCCUUGGGGCCGUGGACGGUGAACCACGGGCGGGAUCGGCUGCUCCAGGUCCCAGGCCGGCCGGCCCUGGGGAAGGUUCAGGGGUGGCCCGUGCGCCCCUCUCCAGCCGCGGCUUGCGAGCUUUGCAGCUGCAGAGACGAGGAGGUGUCGCCGAUCGCUCCCUGAGACGCUCCUGGUUCCCAGGUAUCAGGCCUACCUCUGGACCUGCCGCACCCUCUUCCCGUUGUCAUGGCAACGUCCGCCUGCUCUGAGGCCCGCCUCCAGGGUGGUGGCUGUAUUGGGUCCCGCCCCUCGUGUUCAACUUCCGCCCGGGGAAAGGCUGCUUCCUGUUCCUCUGGUGCGCACGCGCCAUGCAUGAUGGCUGGGCAGCCGCUUCUGCGGAUUUUGUGUCUGGCGGGUUUUCGGCAGAGCGAGCGGGGCUUCCGUGAGAAGACCGGGGCGCUGCGGAAGGCGCUGCGGGGCCGCGCAGAGCUCGUGUGCCUCAGCGGCCCGCACCCGGUCAUGGACGCAGCUGGGUCGGAGGGCGCCAAGCCAGACUCCGGACCCUGCCCUCCGGAGGAGCAGCCUCGAGGCUGGUGGUUUUCCGAACAGGAGGCAGACGUUUUCUUGGCCCUGGAAGACCCCACGGCGUGCAGAGGUCUGGAGGAAGCCCUGGGAACGGUGGCACAGGCACUGAACAAGCUGGGGCCUUUCGAUGGGAUCCUUGGUUUCAGCCAGGGGGCCGCACUAGCAGCUCUUGUGUGUGCCCUUGGCCAAGCCGGCGAUCCCCGCUUCCCUUUGCCCCGGUUUGUCAUCCUCGUAUCUGGUUUCUGCCCGCGGGGCCUUGGCCUCAUGGAACCCAUCAUGAAGGGCCCCUUGUCACUGCCUUCCCUCCAUGUUUUUGGGGACACUGACGGCGUCAUCCCCUCUCAGGAGAGUGUGCAGCUGUGUAGCCGAUUCAAUGGAGCCAUCACCCUUACCCACUCUGGUGGCCACUUCAUUCCAGCAGCAGCACCCCAGCGUCAGGGCUACCUCAAGUUCUUGGACCAGUUUGCAAACUGAAAGCUCUACAAAGGCCUUUGCCUCAGCAUCCCCUUUCUGUUCCACCCCCCAUGACCUUGAUGCAGCCUCUGUAAUCCCUGCCUUUUUUCUACGUAAAAAUCUCCCCUGCUAUUAGGGCACCUCACCAUCUUCAAUUAAGAGACAAAUACAGUACUUAAGACUCAAAUUAAAAAAAAAAAAAAGACUCAAAUUAUAUAAGCCCAGCUCUGCACUCAAAGAGGAAAAGGGGGGGAGGAUUAGGAGGCCUCAAUGGACUUUGACCUUGGCAUCCUGAAUGAGUGGGGGGUGACAGGAAAAGCAGAGACUGGCAGCACUGACUGCCACACAAUAAAGUGAUUUGGAUUUUGAGCAUCUUUUUCCUGGAAAAGAUACACAGGAAAACCCAUUUUAUGUUUUUUUAAAACAUGGAUUCCUAGGCUAGGCGUCAGCACAGCCUCCAGGGCAGCACCAAGCCGGGAGGUGUUUGCAGUUGUGAACCCCUAGGACAAGCUCAUGCAUAUGUGCACAUACACAUUUUUGGCAGAAGUCUUAAGUCCCAAGAUGAAGGAAAGGACACCUCCCUGAAGGAGGGAAGAAUUUACAUCUGAGAAGUUUAGGGAAGAGACCAGUUAGCAAAGCUCUGCCUGGGCCAUACUGAGUUUUAGCUCCUUCGAUCCUGAUGCCUAAGAGUUGUGUGUUGGCCUGUCAAAACCAGGCUUCAUGUAUUCUCUGUUUUCUCCACCAUAGCUAUCAGCUUCUCUGAACUAUGAGUUUGAAGGAUGGGGUGGUACUAGACCUAGAUAGAAACAAAGACAGCACAGAGGUAACCUUUUUCCAAACCUAACCUUGUUUGCAGAGCUGAAGAUGGAUGCUACUCUGUAGUGGUCAAAGCCAAGGCCUAAACAGCCCAUCUGGUUUGAAAAUGCUGUUAGGUACUCUAAAGACUGCUUGCUUUAACCAUU